UACGUAGGCAGCAAGCGUUGUUCGGAGUUACUGGGCGUAAAGAGUGUGUAGGCGGUCGUCCAAGUCUGGUGUGAAAUCUCCCGGCUUAACUGGGAGGGUGCGCCGAAAACUGGAUGGCUUGAGUAUGGGAGAGGAAAGCGGAAUUCCUGGUGUAGCGGUGAAAUGCGUAGAUAUCAGGAGGAACACCUGCGGUGUAGACGGCUUUCUGGACCAUGACUGACGCUGAGACACGAAAGCGUGGGGAGCAAACAG
rnacentral:rRNA from 1 species